AAAAAGUAAAAUCACAAAAAUACUGAACUCAGAGGAAAAUCAAUACGGAAAGUCCAUAAUCACAUGGCAAAAUCAAACAACAAAACGCAUCAAAAACGAAUAGACAAGAACUGUCAUAUUCCUGACUUGGUACAGGCAUUUUCAAAUGUAGAAAAUGGUGGAUUAAACCUGGUUCUAUAGCGCUAACCCUCUCUCUUUAAUAACAGUCUCAUCAAAUUCCG
rnacentral:lncRNA from 1 species